GACGAACGCUGGCGGCGUGCCUAAUACAUGCAAGUAGAACGCUGAAGAGAGGAGCUUGCUCUUCUUGGAUGAGUUGCGAACGGGUGAGUAACGCGUAGGUAACCUGCCUUGUAGCGGGGGAUAACUAUUGGAAACGAUAGCUAAUACCGCAUAACAAUGGAUGACACAUGUCAUUUAUUUGAAAGGGGCAAUUGCUCCACUACAAGAUGGACCUGCGUUGUAUUAGCUAGUAGGUGAGGUAAUGGCUCACCUAGGCGACGAUACAUAGCCGACCUGAGAGGGGGAGCGGCCACACUGGGACUGGGACCCGGCCCGACCCCCUACGGGAGGCACCAGUAGGGAAUCUUCGGCAAGGGGGGCAACCCUGACCGAGCAACCCCGGGGGGGGGAAAAAGUUUUUCGGGUCGUAAAGCCUUGUUGUAAUUCAAAAACGGUUGGGAGAGUGGAAAGUUCACACUGUGACGGUAGCUUCCCAAAAAGGGACGGCUAACUACGG
rnacentral:rRNA from 1 species